UUACUUUAAAGUUUUUAACGAUAUAUUAGACAGUUCAUGUAGCGUCAUCAUGUUAUAAACUAAAUAUUAAAAACACUAAAUAGUAAAGGGUUUUAAAAAGAGACAAAUGUACCUGUUUUUUUUUUAUACUACUUUAUUAUGUAAUCUAAAAAUAAAACGACUAGAUAAAUACUCAACGAAAAAGUGGUUCACAACAAAAAGUGUAUUUUAAUCCAAAGUAAACGGAUUACGCUUUUAGAAUACAUAAUAUUUAUCUGGGAAACGUUAAAGAUUUGAAUAGGAUUUACACCGGAGAUCAAGUCAGGGGGUAGAGAUUACAGUUUCAACUGAAGACACUAGAGAUUCUUCUAUAUAUUAAUACAUUUAUAGUUGAGGUUUGUAUUUCUUAUUGCUUUCUUUGGCUUUCAGGAAGAGUGUUGCUGGGCUGGUAUGGUGAUAUAGUGUUGCUGGUAUGGUGAUAUAGUGUUGCUGGGCUGGUAUGGUGAUAUAGUGUUGCUGGGCUGGUAUGGUGAUAUAGUGUUGCUGGUAUGGUGAUAUAGUGUUGCUGGGCUGGUAUGGUGAUAUAGUGUUGCUGGUAUGGUGAUAUAGUGUUGCUGGGCUGGUCAUAUAGUGUUCCU